rnacentral:lncRNA from 1 species
UACAGAAUGAACCCUUCAAAAUAAUAAUUCCUGAGAUUAAAGCAUAAAUUCUUGACUUUAGCAAUCAUUUCGUGCAGGAUGACGAAGUUUCUUGCGGCGGUGCAGAACACCUCUUCACGUCACG